CCUACGGGUGGCUGCAGUGAGGAAUAUUGGUCAAUGGCCGGAAGGCUGAACCAGCCAUGCCGCGUGAAGGUCAGUGCCCUAUGGGCGUUAAACUUCUUUUGUGCGGGAGCAAUAAUGGUCACGUGUGGCCAGACGAGAGUACCGUACGAAUAAGCAUCGGCUAACUCCUUGCCAGCAGCCGCGGUAAUACUGGGGAUGCAAGCUUUAUCCGGAUUUAUUUGGUUUAAAGGGUGCGUAGGCUGUGAGGUAAGUCAGCGGUGUAAUGCCCCCGCGCAAAGGGGUGAAGUGCCAUUGAGACUGCCUUGCUGGAAUGCGGAUGCGGUGGGAGGAAGGUGUGGUGUAGCGGUGAAAUGCAUAGAUAUCACACAGAACACCGAUUGCGAAGGCAGCUCACGAAUCCGCGAUUGACGCUGAUGCACGAAAGCGUGGGUAUCAAACAGGAUUAGAUACCCCUGUAGUC
rnacentral:rRNA from 1 species